UAGUGGCGGACGGGUGAGUAACGCGUGGGUAACCUACCCUGUACAGGGGGAGUAACAGUCAGAAAAUGACUGCUAAUACCGCAUAAGACCACAGCACCGCAUGGUGCAGGGGUAAAAACUACCGGUGGUACAGGAUGGACCCGCGUCUGAUUAGCUGGUUGGUGAGGUAACGGCUCACCAAGGCGACGAUCAGUAGCCGGCUUGAGAGAGUGAACGGCCACAUUGGGACUGAGACACGGCCCAAACUCCUACGGGAGGCAGCAUG
rnacentral:rRNA from 1 species